UAGAUUGUACGUUUACAUUAAGUAUGUUUUUUUGUUUUUGUUAAUUUAAUAUAAUUUUGUUCCCGCUUAACUUGAUUGUAAACUUGAUGUUCACUUACCUUAAUAUUUAGUUCUUUUUCGUAAACGUGUAGUGAAACUAGUUGAAGAAUGAUAAUCAGUUUCAGUAAAUUCACUUAUAAUUUUGCCUGCAAAUAUUUGCAAAACUGGACGCAUAUGGGAGAAAGUGUCACUAAACUAAACUUGCGCAUAUUUUUUAAGAUAAAGCCUUCACUAUUACGUCUUUUUGAGGAAUCCGCAAUAAAAGAUUUUCGACCUGAGCCCGAUAUAGAAGAACCAUUCUUGCAUCUGAUUGGAUUUUUGACAUGAGCCCGAUAUCAUAGAAGAACCAUUCUUGCAUCAAUUUGGAUUUUCGACCUGAGCCCGAUAUCAUAGAAGAACCAUUCUUGCAUCAGAUUGUGGGGAUUUUGGACAUGAGCUCGAUAUCAUAGAAGAACAAUUCUUGCAUUCAUUUCACUAACUUUUGAUUGUGUAAGGGAUUUUCGACCUGAGCCCGAUAUCAUAGAAGAACCAUUCUUGCAUCAGAUUGGAUUUUGGACAUGAGCUCGAUAUCAUAGAAGAACAAUUCUUGCAUUCAUUUGGAUUUUUGACCUGAGCCCAAUAUCAUAGAAGAACCAUUCUUGCAUCAGAUUGGAUUUUGGACAUGAGCUCGAUAUCAUAGAAGAACAAUUCUUGCAAUCAUUUGGAUUUUUGACCUGAGCCCAAUAUCAUAGAAGAACCAUUCUUGCAUCAGAUUGGAUUUUGGACAUGAGCUCGAUAUCAUAGAAGAACAAUUCUUGCAUUCAUUUGGAUUUUUGACCUGAGCCCCAUAUCAUAGAAGAACCAUUCUUGCAUCAGAUUGGAUUUUGGACAUGAGCUCGAUAUCAUAGAAGAACAAUUCUUGCAUUCAUUUGGAUUUUUGACCUGAGCCCAAUAUCAUAGAAGAACCAUUCUUGCAUCAGAUUGGAUUUUGGACAUGAGCUCGAUAUCAUAGAAGAACAAUUCUUGCAUUCAUUUGGAUUUUUGACCUGAGCCCCAUAUCAUAGAAGAACCAUUCUUGCAUCAGAUUGGAUUUUGGACAUGAGCUCGAUAUCAUAGAAGAACAAUUCUUGCAUUCAUUUG